UGAAAGGUGAAGAGUGGGAGUAGUAAGGACGUCGCUGGCGUGCAGAGAGCCGAUGGGCGGUGCGAAUCGGUCGAAGGCGCGUCCCGAACUCGCCCAUGAACCGCAGCCCGAACUGCACGGUAAGGUGCCAGUAGGGUGUGCCGCGUGCCCGCGUUAUCGGGCUAGACGGUGAUUGCCGUCGACAGAGGGGGCUUUUCCGCAAGGAAAGCCAAAUAGAGUGGUACCGCGAGCCAACCCGGCCUCGUCUCUAUC
rnacentral:ncRNA from 1 species